GCGUUUAAUAAGGGAAAAGACACUUUUUAAAACGUUAAUGGUGUUACUGGCUAAUUUACUGUUUUCCACAUAAUUACAAAAAUAAUUUAAUAGUGAUUUUCUCAUUAAGAAGAUGAUUUUCUCAUUUAGCUUUACUGCAUGAUAUACACAUAGUGACUCUGACAUUACAUUUGAUCUGCUAAAAAUCAUCUAAAUGAAAGACAAACUGGCAUUUUCUCUCUGUAAAAUGAAAGACAUAUUGUAACACUUGUGUUAUCAACCCCAUAUUUUCUUGUUUUGGUCAAUCGAUAAUCAAUAUAUAUUAAAUCAUUUUGCAGGUGUACUGGUGUGAGGUUUCUUACCGUUCUAAACGAGUAGAAUGUUGUCAACCGUUGCUAUGCAACUGGCACGCGGUUCCAACUACCGAGAGCAGAGAGGGUCAAACGUUUCACAUUCAAGUAGCUUUAUUGUCAUAUUCGAAAGGAUAAACAUUAGUAGGAUACACCAGUAUUAUUGUAGCUACUUACACAUGCAAUAUAAAUGGUUCUUUGCAAUUCGGCGAUGUCCGAAUUCACGAAUAGCGAGUCAAUCGGUCAAGCUGUCUAAAUUCAAGAUCCAGUCUGAAUAGUUUUCCAACCGAAUCAAAACGUGUACAAAAGCAGUGACCUCUUUAGAGUGGAUGUGCAGUCUGUCAGCUGAAGCGUGCAGUAGCCCUGCUCUGGCCUCAUCCCUCCAUCUCUGCAAAACACAUUCACAAUGUCACACAUCUGGUCCCAUGAGAUUAAACAAACCUGUGAAAUCUACCUCAAUAACUUUGUCUGCGUGUGUGUGUGUUUAAGAAUAUUAGAAUAAUAUUAAUUCUCACUGGUCUUUGAUUUUUUGAAGUCUGGUUAAAGGUGUCAGGUAGAUCCGGAUUGCUGGAUCCUCUCACGGAGAUCACAAUAUCAGCAUAAGGGACUUCAUGAUCACUCUGGCUGUCUGGGAUUAAAAAAAUAAAUAAAAAUGUGGACCAGUUAACUCUUAAAUG
ensembl:lncRNA